AUUGAACGAUGGCGGCAGGCCUAACACAUGCAAGUCGAGCGAGCGGCGGACGGGGGAGUAAUGUCUGGGAAACUGCCUGAUGGAGGGGGAUAACUAAUGGAAACGGUAGCUAAUACCGCAUACCAUCAGAUGUGCCCCGAUGGGAUUAGCUAGUAGGUGGGGUACUGGCUCACCUAGGCGAAGAUCCCUAGCUGGUAUGAGAGGAUGACCAGCCACACUGGAACUGAGACACGGUCCAGACUCCUACGGGAGGCAGCAGUGGGGAAUUUUUCACAAUGGGCGCAAGCCGGAUGCAGCCAUGCCGCGUGUGUGAAGAAGUCCUUCUGUUUGUAAAGCACUUUCAGCGGGGAGGCGUGACCCGCAGAAGAAGCACCGGCUAACUCCGGGCCAGCAGCCGCGGUAAUUC
rnacentral:rRNA from 1 species